rnacentral:rRNA from 1 species
AGAUUAAGUUAUUAAGGGCGCACGGUGGAUGCCUUGGCACUAGAAGCCGAUGAAGGACGUUACUAACGACGAUAUGCUUUGGGUAGCUGUAAGUAAGCGUUGAUCCAGAGAUUUCCGAAUGGGGGAACCCAGCAUGAGUUAUGUCAUGUUAUCGACAUGUGAAUUCAUAGCAUGUCAGAAGGCAGACCCGGAGAACUGAAACAUCUUAGUACCCGGAGGAAGAGAAAGAAAAAUCGAUUCCCUGAGUAGCGGCGAGCGAAACGGGAAGAGCCCAAACCAACAAGCUUGCUUGUUGGGGUUGUAGGACACUCUAUACGGAGUUACAAAAGAACAUGUUAGACGAAUCAUCUGGAAAGAUGAAUCAAAGAAGGUAAUAAUCCUGUAGUCGAAAACAUAUUCUCUCUUGAGUGGAUCCUGAGUACGACGGAGCACGUGAAAUUCCGUCGGAAUCUGGGAGGACCAUCUCCUAAGGCUAAAUACUCUCUAGUGACCGAUAGUGAACCAGUACCGUGAGGGAAAGGUGAAAAGUACCCCGGAAGGGGAGUGAAAGAGAACUUGAAACCGUGUGCUUACAAGUAGUCAGAGCCCGUUAAUGGGUGAUGGCGUGCCUUUUGUAGAAUGAACCGGCGAGUUACGAUCUGAUGCAAGGUUAAGCAGCAAAUGUGGAGCCGCAGCGAAAGCGAGUCUGAAUAGGGCGUUGAGUAUUUGGUCGUAGACCCGAAACCAGGUGAUCUACCCUUGGUCAGGUUGAAGUUCAGGUAACACUGAAUGGAGGACCGAACCGACUUACGUUGAAAAGUGAGCGGAUGAACUGAGGGUAGCGGAGAAAUUCCAAUCGAACUUGGAGAUAGCUGGUUCUCUCCGAAAUAGCUUUAGGGCUAGCCUCAAGUGAUGAUUAUUGGAGGUAGAGCACUGUUUGGACGAGGGGCCCCUCUCGGGUUACCGAAUUCAGACAAACUCCGAAUGCCAAUUAAUUUAACUU